rnacentral:lncRNA from 1 species
GUCUCUGUUGUUUGAAGGCAAGGUGCUCGGGAAUGAGCCACUGGCUAAAUCGUUUGGUGAUCUCAAGGAUGUGUGCUCUGAUGUGGGAAACGUGGUCGACGACAAGCUCUGACUACUACAGGCUCCAACAAGUUAGAAUUAAUUUAGUUGUGGUUUUAUAUUGCAAAACACGGUGAAAUUAGAAUUUAUCCGGGUUUCUUUGUUUAGGUGGUGCUGUAGAAAUAGCAAUGUCGAUGCUACUGUCAAUUGUUUUGUUCAGUUCGUACGUGCUACUAAAGAUGCACUCGAUCUGCCUUUGCUCGGUUCCUGAAAAUUGCUACGUUGAUUUUGUUUUGAAUUUGCAAGCAUGUAGAUUAAAUCCAAAUGUCCAAUGAUAAGAAAAUAUUAACCUUUUAUCUAUAGAAGUGUACACCGAAAUAUCACCGAUUUGCCAAGACUACAGAUUUUUGUUAUUAUUUUUGUUAAUCGCAUUAGAUAAUUACGGCUAUUUGGAUUAGUCUUCAAUCCUAAUGCUUUGAAAAUGAAAGCAAUAGUUCUAUAUACCUUCUAAUCACUGGGGUUCUUGUGUUAUCCUUCCUAGAAUUGUUUAUUAUCUUCAAUCUUUAUCUUCAUGCUUCUAUUCUGAACCAAUAAACUUGAACAGCUACAAGAAGCAUCUUUCCAUGGAGCUUAAAUACCUUUUCCAAUACAUAGUUAAUCAACCGACGAAAGGAUUGGGUAUUGAGCUUCUUGUACUUGAGGUUUGUUGUCUAUGUCGAAACUUUCUUGCUGUCUGAAGUUUAAAUUGAUGUACCAUGUAGAAACUCUUCAGCAAAUGGCAAAUGUACAGUACACUAAGAACAUGACUGAUGAACAGGAUGCUAUGUCAGGAAGUGAAACGUUGUGGCUUCAAGGAGUGAAGUAAUUGGAUUGGGAUCAUGGAGUAAAUCAAACGAGGAUGCAACUCAUGUUCGUGUAGGUGAGACACUUAUUAACUCUGUAGCAAAUAGUUCACAUGGUACAGCUAGCUGUGGUGCAGAGGGUAGAUAGUUUUAGUACUCAGACUUUCAGUUGCUGCUAGCUCUACUCUGCUGUCCUUUCGUAAUGGCAAUGUAGCAGCUGUGUGAUACGUUUGCAACACGGAGUCUUCACUGCAUAUUACCUACCGGAACCGAUAUGUGUUUGUCGACAUAAAAUUCUAACUUGAAUUUGCUAUUCAGGUGGCAAAUCCAAUAAUUUAUGUAGUGUAUUUGCAUUUUGCAAGAUAAUUUGGCUGCCAAAGUGCUACAUCGUAUCUCACUGGACCUAUUGAGUAAGUGGUAAUUUUUCAUUUAUAUAUCAUUCAAAUUUCUAUAUGCACUGUUCAUAGAUUCCUUGCAUUGUUCAGUUACCAAUUUUCGUAAGGGUCAUACUUAUUGGACCAUGGCACACCCUGCCAAUGCAGGUUGCUUCCAUGACCAUACUUCAAAUAGGGGUAUAUUAGUUUGUCUCUCAUCAUCAACUUUGGACCCUCUUUACGUGUGCAUUUUUUUUCAAAGCGUACUCGUACAAAAUAAACUGUAUUGGUUUUCAGUUUAUAUCUGUCCAUGGUUAUGCUCACAUCACAAAUUUUGACAG